AGUGAACGCUGGCGGUAGGCCUAACACAUGCAAGUCGAACGGCAGCACAGUAAGAGCUUGCUCUUACGGGUGGCGAGUGGCGGACGGGUGAGGAAUACAUCGGAAUCUACUUUUUCGUGGGGGAUAACGUAGGGAAACUUACGCUAAUACCGCAUACGACCUACGGGUGGAAGCAGGGGAUCUUCGGACCUUGCGCGAUUGAAUGAGCCGAUGUCGGAUUAGCUAGUUGGCGGGGUAAAGGCCCACCAAGGCGACGAUCCGUAGCUGGUCUGAGAGGAUGGUCAGCCACACUGGAACUGAGACACGGUCCAGACUCCUACGGGAGGCAGCAGUGGGGAAUAUUGGACAAUGGGCGCAAGCCUGAUCCAGCCAUACCGCGUGGGUGAAGAAGGCCUUCGGGUUGUAAAGCCCUUUUGUUGGGAAAGAAAAGCAGCAGGUUAAUACCCCGCUGUUCUGACGGUACCCAAAGAAUAAGCACCGGCUAACUUCGUG
rnacentral:rRNA from 1 species